UUAACUUUAUUAUUUGUACUCAGACUGAAAGUUCAGAGUUUGUCCGGCGCGAACGCCGAAGCAACGAAGAGGGUACACAUGGGUUGGAGUUUGGCCGAAGCCAAUCUCUGUAAUGAUCCUUCCGCAGGUUCACCUACGGAAA
rnacentral:misc_RNA from 1 species